rnacentral:rRNA from 1 species
UACGUAGGGCGCAAGCGUUGUCCGGAAUUACUGGGCGUAAAGCGUGCGUAGACGGUUAUGUAAGUCGGAUGUGAAAGCCCCGGGCUCAACCUGGGAAUUGCAUUCGAGACUGCAUAGCUAGGAUGCGGAAGAGGGAAGUGGAAUUUCCGGUGUAGCGGUGAAAUGCGUAGAUAUCGGAAGGAACACCAGUGGCGAAAGCGACUUCCUGGUCCAGCAUCGACGUUCAGGCACGAAAGCGUGGGGAGCAAACAGG